UUUACACAUGCAAGUCGAACGGUAACAGGGUGCUUGCNCCGCUGACGAGUGGCGAACGGGUGAGUAAUGCGUCGGAACGUGCCUAGUAGUGGGGGAUAACUCAUCGAAAGUUGUGCUAAUACCGCAUACGUACUGAGGUAGAAAGUGGGGGACCUUCGGGCCUCGCGCUAUUCGAGCGGCCGACGUCUGAUUAGCUAGUAGGUGAGGUAAAGGCUCACCUAGGCGACGAUCAGUAGCGGGUCUGAGAGGAUGAUCCGCCACACUGGGACUGAGACACGGCCCAGACUCCUACGGGAGGCAGCAGUGGGGAAUUUUGGACAAUGGGCGAAAGCCUGAUCCAGCCAUGCCGCGUGUCUGAAGAAGGCCUUCGGGUUGUAAAGGACUUUUGUCAGGGAGGAAAUCCCUAGCGNUAAUACCGCUGGGGGAUGACAGUACCUGAAGAAUAAGCACCGGCUAACUACGUGCCAGCAGCC
rnacentral:rRNA from 1 species